rnacentral:rRNA from 1 species
GACGAACGCUGGCGGCGUGCUUAACACAUGCAAGUCGAACGAAGAGCGAUGGAAGCUUGCUUCUAUCAAUCUUAGUGGCGAACGGGUGAGUAACGCGUAAUCAACCUGCCCUUCAGAGGGGGACAACAGUUGGAAACGACUGCUAAUACCGCAUACGAUCUAAUCUCGGCAUCGAGGAUAGAUGAAAGGUGGCCUCUACAUGUAAGCUAUCACUGAAGGAGGGGAUUGCGUCUGAUUAGCUAGUUGGAGGGGUAACGGCCCACCAAGGCGAUGAUCAGUAGCCGGUCUGAGAGGAUGAACGGCCACAUUGGGACUGAGACACGGCCCAGACUCCUACGGGAGGCAGCAGUGGGGAAUCUUCCGCAAUGGACGAAAGUCUGACGGAGCAACGCCGCGGGAGCGAUGACGGCCUUCGGGUUGUAAAGCUCUGUUAAUCGGGACGAAAGGCCUUCUUGCGAAUAGGGAGAAGGAUUGACGGUACCGGAAUAGAAAGCCACGGCUAACUACGUG